CGAAAUUUGAAUUAGAAAUUAGAGAAUUCUAUUAAAUUCUAUUCUUAUUCUAUUUAAUUCUUAUUAAAUCCAUUUAUUUAAUAUUUAAUUUAAUUAAAUAAAUCACAAUACCAUUUAAAUUAUUAAAUUCAAUUUUCUAGUCAAUUUGAAUAUUUAAAUAGUAAAAAAUAUUAAUUUAAUUGGAAUUGUUAAUUGUGUAAUGAUUUGGUUUUGUUGGACCCAUGGGUCAAAUAAAACGGAGCAUUUCUCUCUUUGAGAAAAAUCAAUCAAAGAAUUUCAUUAUAUACUUUCUCAAAUCGUUCUAUUUCGUUUGAUAUUUCGUAAGGAUAAGUAAUACACAGAUAUAGCAAAAUAAAAUAUAUAAUAUAUUUUAUUUUCUACUUCUAUUUCUAUUAAAACUAAAACUAAUAAAAACCCCUCAAAUGACUAACUAUUGAUACUGGAGUAUCCCGUAGUAAUGAAUGUGCACGUGAUUUGGGAUAGAGUAAUAUUGUUUGUUCUAUCUAUGUAAGACAAAAAAAAACUCCACCUCAGAACUUCUAAUUGAGAUAUGAAUACACUACAC
rnacentral:lncRNA from 1 species